CCCGGCCGGAGCAGGGCCAGCCCCGGGGCUGGGGAAGCGGGCCCGGCCGGAGCAGGGCCAGCCCCGGGGGGGGAAGCGGGCCCGUCAUGCUGGGCAUGGAGGAGCCAUCGGCCCCGUGUCCCACUCAGUCCCUGCAGCCGCUCCAUGCGACCCCCGGAGCCUCCCACUGACCCGUGGGGGACCUGCCCAGCCCGCCGUGAGCUGGGACAGGAUCCUGCUGCUCGCUUGCAGGGGAUGCCUAAAGGCGUCCAUCCCCGCGGGCCGCGUCUUUCGGGUGACAUGACAGCCCGGUCUCUGCCCAGCUCAGUGUGGACGCGAAGGAGCUCUGUGGCUUUUAAUGAGGGGAGGCUGCUUCGCCGCCCCACCCCCCGGCUUGAUCAGAGCCCGAGAAACGCCCUAGAAAGAGCAGAUCAGACCUGCGGUUUUACCAGCGUGGAACCCGCGGGCUGCCCGGGGCCAGAUGCUGAGCUUGUGGUGUCUGGGUGGCAGGGCCUCUCCCCUCGCUGCUGGACCAUCAUGCAGAAGAUAGAGUCAGAGCAACUGGAGAGGCUGCGUCGUGCAAACCAAGACCUUCUGGAAAGGCUCAAAGCGAAGCAGGAAGAAAUCAAGAAAAGACUUCCUCGCAAGCCACUAUCAGCGUGUUCUCUUUCCAGAAGAACAACUCAUGCAGAGAGAGCUGUCCCUGUUCCUAAGAGAGGGAAAGAGAACCAAGGCCAUGCGAGGAAGGCCGCGACGGACCCUGUGACACUCGUGUCUGUGGAACCCGGAGCCAGUGCCGCCAGGGCAGCCCUUCGUUUGCCAUUGAAACACGUAGCGUGCAGCAGGGAGGGGAGGGGGGUGCCACACCACAGAGCGGGGGCAUAUCCGGGUUCCCCCAGGGCAGAACGAAGCUUCACACCGGCAGCGUCCAUCACCAGAGAAACCUCCCGAGUGGCCAGAGACGGCAACGCCCUGAGAACCCCAGAGGAAGAAUCCACCCCUGGGAAACACAGAGAGGGCAGAAAGCAAUCCACCGUGCUCCACAGCGCCCAGGAGAGGGGCAGGCCAAGGGCUGAGGCAGAGACGAUGCUGGGCAGGAUCCCAGCGGAUGGGAAUGGCUGGCGGCGAGCGGCCGUUAGAGACUCCAGGACUCCCAAACCAAUUCUGCUGACACUUGGGGGUAAAGAAGCCAAGAAGGAAGCUGGCCGUGUGACUUUUCUGUCGGACCCUGAGGAAUACACCAUCCCUGCCGCUAGCUGGUCAGCACGUCCUUUCUUGGGCUACGACUGGAUUGCAGGGCUGCUGGAGACGGACUCGUCGCUGUCAGAGAAAUCUGAGCAGUACUUCUCUGAGCUCAGGGAGUUCCGACAGGUGAACAAGGAAGCAUGUGUCCAUGAGGAAGACCUGGGGCCAGAGGUACCAGAUUACUUGGCUCCUGAGCAAGAAGCAGAUUUGGUUUCCAGUUCCCAUCAGUGUGUUUAUUGCUAUCGAUUAAACGGGCGUCUGUUUACCGUCCCUGUGGGUUCACAGUCUGCCUGCCCCGUGUGUAAGACUCCAAGAGCCCGACGGCCUCCAGAGACGCUGGAGGAACCAGCCUACGUCAGGGUCAGCAUUCCCAGGUCCACCCUCCUGCCUGCCUAUAAGUACAAAAUCCAUUGCAGGAAGAGCUUUGAACCGGCAGACGAUCUGGCUUUACCCUCGAUUGGAAAGAGCGUGGGGAAAAACUUGCCUGCUUUUCCAACUCCUACACUGCCUGGCCGGCUGGGAAAACAUCAUCCCCUCCAGCAGCCCCACGCUUAGCAGUUUGGAUCUGCGAACUUCACUGCAACAAAAACCCACUGACCAUUCUCACCUGACCUUGGCACCCCGAAUGUCAGGAGGAACCAGAACGGACCAGCUCCUAAACCUGUCCCGCUCAGCUCAUUUCAGACUUCGUAAUGCUUCUUAGCGGAGAGCUCAAGACAAGCCACUAUGCUACACAACAACGCCGAAUUAAAAUCCUACUGUCUCAACCGUAUGAGCUGCUGACCUGAUUACCCAGGGGCCGUGUGGGAUACUGGGAGUGAGUAGAAAUGGCAGCGUUUGCCUAAAAAUGAACCUUUAGAGGAGAGCUUUUUCCUAGCCCUGCAAGUGCAAACGCCGUCGCAAAAAUCCACGGGCACGUGUGUAUUGGAAUUGCGCAAGCUGCGAGGCGACAAUUGCAGAAAUUGCUUGCAGUUGGCCAGUUUUGGCCUCUAACUGGCCACUGGUACAUACAGUCACCGCAGUUGUGUGCGUGCGUUGCACUUUCCCACCCAGGGAUGUAAAUUGAGUGUGCGUGGUCAGUUGCUGUAAGAGAUAUCUGGUAGGUUAAGAAAACAGGAUGACUAGUUAGUACUGUUCCCUGUAAUAAAAGAGCCAUAGGAUAUAUUGCAAUAGACACGUCCAUUCAGAGUUCAUCCACCCAGCUCAUAAAAGCAAUACAGUUGACUCAUCAAACCAAGAAUUUUGGCUCUCUGGACAAAGAGUUGGGACUGUGAGCUGCAUGGCACAGCAUGGGGUAUGCAAAGAUGCUCAAUAUCAUGCUUCCAGGAGGUUUGGAACAUGAGUAAUUCUUACAUUAAAGAAGAGUGACUGUGCUUUAGUUCUAAUAAGAAAAACAUGUUUGUUUUUGUGCAUUAUCUUUGGACAGAGGAUUUGGUGGAUCAUGUUCAGCAUAAAUCGGGGGGAAGAAACCAUUGUCAAAAGAAAGAGGUGUUUUAUGAAUCACAAAGCCACAAUAUGUCUUAGAACAUUCUGAAGUCAUGUUUACCUCUGAUUGUAAAAGGCUGGUGGGAAGGCAUUUUGAAGACAUGCUCAUGGAGGUUUUUAAUUGCAUUGAAAUAAUGUGUGAGAGUUUGUUUGAGGCCUGUUACGUGGUGUGGUUUUAUUUUCCCUUUUGAAAACAAUAAAGAAGGAGUUUAUAUUUUCUGGUAUAACAUCUGGAAUGUAGAGUUCUGUUAUAGGAAUUCUAUGGGUUGUAGUCAAGCCUUCUUAACUCAUAAGUAAGGCUACGAUUUACUCAUGGGUAUUUUUAGUAUAAGUUAUGGACUGGUCUUGGGCAAUAAACAAAAAAAUUCAUGCCUGUGACCUAGCUAUGACUUAUCCUAUAAAUACUCCUGGCUAAAUCUUGGGGGCUGUUGCUGCGGAGGUUACCCCAGGGGGCUGCUGGUGCGGGAAGCCGGUGGAGCCCCGGGGCCGCUCCAGCCAUGCUGGUGCGGCUGGCUGCAGGGCCACCUGAACAGCUGGCCCCGGAGCCAGCCACACUGGCCACUGCAGAAGUCAAUGGAGGUCGCUGAAAGUCACGGAAUCCGUGACUUCCGUGACCGACCCAGAGCCCUACUCUUAUGAGUAUUUAGAAAUCUUGGUCCAAACUUAUCCCUAGGGUGUAACACCAUUCACUUCUAUGGGCUUAGCCCAGGGAUGAGUUUGGCUCAUUGUCUGUUAGUGUUACAGAGCUUACUACAGGCAUAAAAUGCAGCUUGUGAAUUUAAAAAAAAAAAAAAAAGCGGGAAUUUAUUUUACAAGACUAUAAAUGGAAUAAUUUAAAUAUUUAAUUGAAAGCAAUUUUGUUUUAAAUGAAGCAUUCCUCUUUAGUGUCGGAAGUUUAGACAUGGUUGCAUUGGGUGACUGGAUGAGAAAUAAAAAAUGAAACUGA